AACAGGAAGCAGCUUGCUGCUUUGCUGACGAGUGGCGGACGGGUGAGUAAUGUCUGGGAAACUGCCUGAUGGAGGGGGAUAACUACUGGAAACGGUGGCUAAUACCGCAUAACGUCGCAAGACCAAAGAGGGGGACCUUCGGGCCUCUUGCCAUCAGAUGUGCCCAGAUGGGAUUAGCUUGUUGGUGAGGUAACGGCUCACCAAGGCGACGAUCCCUAGCUGGUCUGAGAGGAUGACCAGCCACACUGGAACUGAGACACGGUCCAGACUCCUACGGGAGGCAGCAGUGGGGAAUAUUGCACAAUGGGCGCAAGCCUGAUGCAGCCAUGCCGCGUGUAUGAAGAAGGCCUUCGGGUUGUAAAG
rnacentral:rRNA from 1 species